CCUCCUAGACCUCAGGAAGGGCACUUUGUGCCUGAAAGCUUGUCUAACAUCUCUCCAAACUAUUCAGUUGGUCCUAUAAAGGUAUUACCAAAAGAAAUUCAUGCCCCU